UUUAUUAAUAAUCCUUAUUUUGACAUAAACUAUGAACUAGAUUUUAUAUAUUGAAAAUUUGAAUAGUUACUUACAAUUUUAUAUUAUAUUGAUGAAUGGGUUGAUGUCAAAACUUAAUUCAUUCUUUUCUUUGAUGUGGUGGACAUGAAUGCUACCUUUAUUAAUUAUAUUUAUAUACUUUGUUCCUUAUUUAUCAAUGCAAUUUUUAAUUUAUAGAUACAUAUAAUAAAUAGAAGACGUGUAUACCUGCCUAUUUGGGCCUCCAUGGGCCGGCUCAAGAUUUACAGACUGCUCGUCUUCACGAUCGAAGCCCGAUGGUGCGGUUCGGACUUGAAGGUGAACUCGCCGCCCUCAUCCCGCCGCUGCUUUCGCCGAUGCCAUCGACGGCACCUGGCACGAGGAGGAGGAGGAGGAGCGGCAACAAGUCCCCGCAUAUCGCUCCUCAUCCGCUACCUCGGCCACGAUCGCCGUUGCCCAAUCUGCGGGCUGGCCUUCUCAUUUGGGCCUCAAUAGGCCGGCCUGAGACCUGUGGACUGCUCUAAAAGAAUGAUUCGUGGAUUUACCGUCACCAAUCGUGGCCUGCUCCGACUCGGACUCGGCGAGGAACUCGCCGCCCUCGUGCCGCCGCAGCUUUUGCCGGUGCCCUUUCAUAAGCCGCCAUGGAAGAUCUGCCUUGCCGCGGGGUGCUCAGCCGAGGAGGCCCGGCGGAACGCCGCGGAAAAGAGGGGCGACCGAGAUGUGAGGAAAGCAUCAAGCGGAGGACGACGGGUGAGGUGGAAGAAAGGACGAGGAGGAGGAGGAGAAGAAGAAGGGAAGCUGAAGUCGGUGCGCGCUUUCCUUCCCGAAGCCCACUGUGCUUAGGAAAAGAUAACGACGGCAGUAACUGCUUUCCUAAUCGGCGUCGGAAAUAGAAUCUCUUUCUACUUUCUCUCUCCUAUAAAUUAAUUAGGUCACAGGAGUUACGAAGGAUCACAACAACAACAAAGAAGGAAUCCUGCAACUAAUCUGCAUCGGGUACUUCUUGUUCUUCCUCUUUUUCGAUCUCUCUUAUGCUUAUUUUACUUGUUUUUGUGGUAUUCCAGUGGUGGUGUGAGUCUUACGCGUCCGUUGCUCGAAAGCGUGAAACGCCUGCAGAAAAGAAAUAUAACCAACGACUGUGCAGUGUGACAAUAGCCGGUGACGAAGAAAUGGAGCAGAAGUCACUUUCCGAGAUCGCAAAAAGAGUCCUGCAAUUGAUGCAUAUUCUUCCUCCCUCUGAAACAGAGACGCCACGCUUACCACCAUUUUUGGAUCGAUGUGCUCAGUGCGAUAAGCAAUUAUCUAACAGGGCACCCAUCUAUAUGUAUGGGGAUCUGCAAGGCUUCUGUUCUCCUGGCUGUCGGAAUUUAAGGAUCGAUUUGGAUGAAGAAGAGGCGAAAGCUAACAAAUCAAGUCAAAGGACGAGACGAUCAUAGACUCACAAAAAAAAAAAACAGUAGCAUUUAGAAGAACAUAUUUUUGUUUUAGGGUUUGUGGUUUUGAACGAAAACUGAUGGCUUCUAUGGAUAGGGAAGGACUGCAGUAAAAUUAUUAGGUAAUCCUGUGGUUGAUUUUUCUA